CACCCAUCCGGCGAAUCCUUCUCAUCCUUCCUUAUUUGGACAAAGGGGCCAAUUUGGGAGGUUCAGCUUGCUUUUCAACCGGCAACGGGAGCUCGGCGGCGUCCCUCCUCGACGAUACCAGCAAACUCCGGCGGCGGUGGCGCUCACAGCAAAGGAAAAGGAGGAUGAGCUAUCUUCUAAGGACCUUAACAAAGAAGAGAGAAGUGGAUUCCCUCAUUAGGGACACGAUCGAUAAGGUUCUAAUUCUCCGAUUUGGGCGGUGUUCCGAUUCAGUUUGUCUCCUCCAUGACGACAUUCUUGCUAAAUGCGCACGGGAAGUAUCGAAGUUUGCUUCAAUAGCACUGGUUGAUAUUGAUUCACAAGACAUACAGGUUUACGUUAAGUACUUUGACAUAACUCUUAUACCAUCCACUGUUUUCUUCUUCAAUGCUCAUCAUAUGAAG
rnacentral:misc_RNA from 1 species